UUUAUGGAGAGUUUGAUCCUGGCUCAGGAUGAACGCUGGCGGCGUGCCUAAUACAUGCAAGUCGAGCGAACGGACGAGAAGCUUGCUUCUCUGAUGUUAGCGGCGGACGGGUGAGUAACACGUGGAUAACCUACCUAUAAGACUGGGAUAACUUCGGGAAACCGUAGCUAAUACCGGAUAAUAUUUUGAACCGCAUGGUUCAAAAGUGAAAGACGGUCUUGCUGUCACUUAUAGAUGGAUCCGCGCUGCAUUAGCUAGUUGGUAAGGUAACGGCUUACCAAGGCAACGAUGCAUAGCCGACCUGAGAGGGUGAUCGGCCACACUGGAACUGAGACACGGUCCAGACUCCUACGGGAGGCAGCAGUAGGGAAUCUUCCGCAAUGGGCGAAAGCCUGACGGAGCAACGCCGCGUGAGUGAUGAAGGUCUUCGGAUCGUAAAACUCUGUUAUUAGGGAAGAACAUAUGUGUAAGUAACUGUGCACAUCUUGACGGUACCUAAUCAGAAAGCCACGGCUAACUACGUGCCAGCAGCCGCGGUAAUACGUAGGUGGCAAGCGUUAUCCGGAAUUAUUGGGCGUAAAGCGCGCGUAGGCGGUUUUUUAAGUCUGAUGUGAAAGCCCACGGCUCAACCGUGGAGGGUCAUUGGAAACUGGAAAACUUGAGUGCAGAAGAGGAAAGUGGAAUUCCAUGUGUAGCGGUGAAAUGCGCAGAGAUAUGGAGGAACACCAGUGGCGAAGGCGACUUUCUGGUCUGUAACUGACGCUGAUGUGCGAAAGCGUGGGGAUCAAACAGGAUUAGAUACCCUGGUAGUCCACGCCGUAAACGAUGAGUGCUAAGUGUUAGGGGGUUUCCGCCCCUUAGUGCUGCAGCUAACGCAUUAAGCACUCCGCCUGGGGAGUACGACCGCAAGGUUGAAACUCAAAGGAAUUGACGGGGACCCGCACAAGCGGUGGAGCAUGUGGUUUAAUUCGAAGCAACGCGAAGAACCUUACCAAAUCUUGACAUCCUUUGACAACUCUAGAGAUAGAGCCUUCCCCUUCGGGGGACAAAGUGACAGGUGGUGCAUGGUUGUCGUCAGCUCGUGUCGUGAGAUGUUGGGUUAAGUCCCGCAACGAGCGCAACCCUUAAGCUUAGUUGCCAUCAUUAAGUUGGGCACUCUAAGUUGACUGCCGGUGACAAACCGGAGGAAGGUGGGGAUGACGUCAAAUCAUCAUGCCCCUUAUGAUUUGGGCUACACACGUGCUACAAUGGACAAUACAAAGGGCAGCGAAACCGCGAGGUCAAGCAAAUCCCAUAAAGUUGUUCUCAGUUCGGAUUG
rnacentral:rRNA from 1 species